GAUGAAGAACGCAGCGAAAUGCGAUAAGUAAUGUGAAUUGCAGAGUUCAGUGAAUCAUCGAAUCUUUGAACGCACAUUGCGCCCGCCAGUAUUCUGGCGGGCAUGCCUGUUCGAGCGUCAUUACAACCCUCAGGCCCCCGGGCCUGGCGUUGGGGAUCGGCGGAGCCCCCCGUGGGCACACGCCGUCCCCCAAAUGCAGUGGCGGUCCCGCCGCAGCUUCCAUCGCGUAGUAGCUAACACCUCGCGACUGGAGAGCGGCGCGGCCACGCCGUAAAACACCCAACUCUUCUGAAGUUGACCUCGAAUCAGGUAGGAAUACCCGCUGAACUUAAGCAUAUCAAUAAGCGGAGGA
rnacentral:misc_RNA from 1 species